UACAGAGGUCUCAAGCGUUGUUCGGAUUCAUUGGGCGUAAAGGGUGUGUAGGUGGCGCCGUAAGUCGGGUGUGAAAUCUCGGGGCUUAACCUCGAGAUGUCGGCGGAAACCAUCUGGCUAGAGUCCGGAAGAGGAGAGUGGAAUUCCUGGUGUAGCGGUGAAAUGCGCAGAUAUCAGGAAGAACACCCGUGGCGAAGGCGGCUCUCUGGGACGGUACUGACGCUGAGACGCGAAAGCGUGGGGAGCGAACAGG
rnacentral:rRNA from 1 species